GACGAACGCUGGCGGCGUGCUUAACACAUGCAAGUCGAACGGAAAGGCCCUGCUUUUGUGGGGUGCUCGAGUGGCGAACGGGUGAGUAACACGUGAGUAACCUGCCCCUGACUUUGGGAUAUCUUCAGGAAACUGGGGCUCAUACCGGCUAGGAGCUCUUGCUGCAUGGUGGGGGUUGGAAAGUUUCGGCGGUUGGGGAUGGACUCGCGGCUUAUCAGCUUGUUGGGGGGGUAGUGGCUUACCAAGGCUUUGACGGGUAGCCGGCCUGAGAGGGUGACCGGCCAGAUUGGGACUGAGAUACGGACCAGACUGCUACGGGAGGCAGCAGUGGGGAAUAUUGCACAAUGGGCGGAAGCCUGAUGCAGCAACGCCGCGGGCGGGAUGACGGCCUUCGGGUUGUAAACCGCUUUCGCCUGUGACGAAGCGUGAGUGACGGUAAUGGGUAAAGAAGCACCGGCUAACUACGUG
rnacentral:rRNA from 1 species